GUCUACGGCCAUGCUACCCCGAACAAGCCCAAUCCCGUCUGAUCUUGGGAGCUAAGCAGGGUCAGGCCUGGUUAGCACUCGGAUGGGAGACCACCUAGGAAGAUCAGGUCCUGUAGGUG
rnacentral:rRNA from 1 species